rfam:Aedes aegypti strain Liverpool supercont1.492 genomic scaffold, whole genome shotgun sequence.
GGCUCGGUAGCUUAGUUGGUAAAGCGCUCGUUUAGCAUACGAGAGUCCUUGGUUCGAAUCCCUGCUGAGCAC